rnacentral:rRNA from 1 species
GAUAAACGCUGGCGGCGUGCAUGAGACAUGCAAGUCGAACGAAGGAACCGGGCUUGCUCGGGACCUGAGUGGCGGACGGCUGAGUAACGCGUAGGUGACCUGCCCCGAAGUGGGGAAUAACUGCCCGAAAGGGUGGCUAAUACCGCAUGUGGUCGCACGUUCGUUCGUGCGAGUAAAGCCGCAAGGCGCUUCGGGAGGGGCCUGCGUCCGAUUAGCUCGUUGGUGGGGUAACGGCUCACCAAGGCGACGAUCGGUAGGUGGUCUGAGAGGACGAUCACCCAGACUGGGACUGAGACACGGCCCAGACUCCUACGGGAGGCAGCAGUGGGGAAUUUUGGACAAUGGGCGCAAGCCUGAUCCAGCCAUGCCGCGUGCGGGAUGAAGGCCU